UAAACCUCCCAGUUUCAUAACUAUGGUACAACCAAACAGGUUCAAGCAAUACUCUGGCACUAAGUAAUUUCUGCCUUGCAUCUUCAUUGCUUUGUUCCUCAAUUUCUCUUUCAAUCUGAGGGAGCCCCAGCACCAACGCAAAGUCCUUCCUUUCCAGGCCAACAACUGAAUGGGUCAAGAAAAUCACUCCAACAGCAUCCAGUAUGUUAGGAUUUCUUUUCAACAGUGGAAUUAUCAUUUCUAUAAAUUUCUUAAACAUGGGAAAUUCCUCUGGAUCUGAAACUUCAUGAUCAUCCUCAUCUGGAUUAACUUCUUUCAUUUCAAAGAGCUCAGCCUUCGCCAAAAUUAAAGGCCAAGAUGGAUAAUGGAGCUUAACAUGUGAUAAUGCCGUCAAAUAUGUGCUUUCUACUGGAGUAUGUCUAAGUAUGCUCCCUAAGCCCAAUGCAAGAAUCAAAUCAGGCAGCCAAGACUUUGCAACUGCAGCAAGGUGUGCAGCAAAACUAGAGCCCAAAUAGAUUUCAAAUGAGGUAAUUAGGUCAAGCAUAUCAUUGGCCAGGUCAAAAGCUUCUUGUGGAGGUGGUGAAGCUUCAGUAGCGUCUUUAAGUAUAAGAUUGAGUAACUUGGCUGCGUAGCUGAAAGAGCUCUUCAGACAGAUAAUACUGUCUUUCAAAUUAUCCUCCUUAAAUUGCUGUCCUUCAAAAUAUUGUUGUCCCAAGACAAAGAUGACGUGUUUUACAUAUGAUGAUGUAAAACUUAAGCACCUUCUGUUAAGGUGAGAAAGAAAGCCCAUUGCAGUGGAAUCAACAAUGAACUUGAGAACUGCAGUAAAUUGCCAGACGUUCCAGCAUCAUCUGCUGCAAGCAGCUUCUCAGUACAGUUAAGCAGGUGAUCUACUGUCUCAUCCAACAAUGUCCGCUGAAAAGUAAAUUUUAAGGAAAAAAAAAAUUGAAAUACAUCAGCAACAAAUUUUUUUCUUUUUUUUUUUUUCCUUUUAUUGAAUGGAACAAAAUUUCCAUAUUUAUCAAAAGUAGAAGCAGAUUUUGAGCAAUUAAUCGUGAGAAAUAAAUAGGUGAAGCAACAAAGAUGUGCUUCUUUCAUAAGUUCUCGAAGGUUAAACAAUUAUUGUAAUUAUAAGAUGUGUGUUUAUACAAGGAUAAAGCAUUUCCCGUUU